CCUACGGGAGGCAGCAGUGAGGAAUAUUGGUCAAUGGGCGGGAGCCUGAACCAGCCAAGUCGCGUGAAGGAAGAAGGUACUUAGUAUUGUAAACUUCUUUUGUCGGGGAACAAAGGCGGAGACGCGUCUCCGGAUGAGUGUACCCGAAGAAAAAGCAUCGGCUAACUCCGUGCCAGCAGCCGCGGUAAUACGGAGGAUGCGAGCGUUAUCUGGAUUUAUUGGGUUUAAGGGGUGCGCAGGCGGGAGAGCAAGUCAGCGGUAAAAUGUAGGGGCUGAACCCCGACCGGCAGUUGAAACUGGUUGUCUAGAGUUGGAGAGAAGGAUGCGGAAUUCGUGGUGUAGCGGUGAAAUGCAUAGAUAUCACGAAGAACUCCGAUUGCGAAGGCAGCAUACCGGCCCCAUACUGACGCUGAGGCACGAAAGCGUGGGGAUCGAACAGGAUUAGAUACCCCAGUAGUC
rnacentral:rRNA from 1 species